ensembl:lncRNA
AGGAGGUCUUUGGGUCAAUCCUGAAGUUACACUCCUGAAAUCUGGAGAAGGAGAAGGUAGCUGAAGUUGAAGACAGUAUCCCUGCUAGGGAGUCAGCUGGUCAGGAAGAGGAUAUGAUGCAGCAAGGUCCUUUAGAAUCUGACACUGUGAUGCUCACCCUUACCCCAUGUGCGGAGGAAAAUGAAUCUGACACUGUGGUGCUCACCCUUAACCCAUGUGUGGAGGAAAAUGAAACUGUGUGUGAGGAUUCUGCUGGACCAGAUGCUGCAGUGACAGAAUCCACGAUGGAUGUUGCUGAGUGUGAAGACAUGGCACAAACAACAUUCCGUGCUGAUUUGGUUCAGCCUGCAGAGCACGGUAGCUACUGUCUGUUCAUCCAGGAACACUGA